rnacentral:rRNA from 1 species
AACGAACGCUGGCGGCAUGCCUAACACAUGCAGGUCGAACGAGACCUUCGGGUCUAGUGGCGCACGGGUGCGUAACGCGUGGGAACCUGCCCUUAGGUUCGGAAUAACUCCCCGAAAGGGGUGCUAAUACCGGAUAAUGUCUUCGGACCAAAGAUUUAUCGCCUUUGGAUGGGCCCGCGUUGGAUUAGCUAGUUGGUAGGGUAAAAGCCUACCAAGGCGACGAUCCAUAGCUGGUCUGAGAGGAUGAUCAGCCACACUGGGACUGAGACACGGUCCAGACUCCUACGGGAGGCAGCAGUGGGGAAUAUUGGACAAUGGGCGAAAGCCUGAUCCAGCAAUGCCGCGUGAGUGAUGAAGGCCUUAGGGUUGUAAAGCUCUUUUACCCGGGAUGAUAAUGACAGUACCGGGAGAAUAAGCUCCGGCUAACUCCGUG